rnacentral:rRNA from 1 species
ACUGCUCAGUAACACGUGGACAACCUACCCUUUAGGACUGGGAUAAACCUGGGAAACUGGGUAUAAUACCGGAUAGGGCUCGAAUGCUGGAAUGCAUCGAGGCUGAAAGCUCCGGCGCCUAAGGAUGGGUCUGCGGCCUAUCAGGGUAGUAGUGGGUGUAAUGUACCUACUAGCCUACGACGGGUACGGGUCGUGAGAGCGAGAGCCCGGAGAUGGAUUCUGAGACACGAAUCCAGGCCCUACGGGGUGCAGCAGGCGCGAAAACUUUACAAUGCUGGAAACAGCGAUAGGGGGACUUUGAGUGCCAGGAUACAAUUCUGGCUGUCGUCGUGCCUAAAAAGCACGGCAUAGCAAGGGCCGGGCAAGACCGGUGCCAGCCGCCGCGGUAACACCGGCGGCUCGAGUGGUAACCGCUAUUAUUGGGUCUAAAGGGUCUGUAGCCGGCUGAAAAAGUCUCUUGGGAAAUCCGGCAGCUUAACUGUCGGGCUUUCAGGAGAUACUGCCAGGCUCGAGACCGGGAGAGGUAAGAGGUACUUCAGGGGUAGGGGUGAAAUCUUGUAAUCCUUGAAGGACCACCAGUGGCGAAGGCGUCUUACCAGAACGGAUCUGACGGCAAGGGACGAAAGCUAGGGGCACGAACCGGAUUAGAUACCCGGGUAGUCCUAGCCGUAAACGAUACUCGCUAGGUGUCGGCCACGGUGCGACCGUGGUCGGUGCCGUAGGGAAACCGUGAAGCGAGCCACCUGGGAAGUACGGCCGCAAGGCUGAAACUUAAAGGAAUUGGCGGGGGAGCA